AGUGAACGCUGGCGGUAGGCCUAACACAUGCAAGUCGAACGGCAGCACAGUAAGAGCUUGCUCUUACGGGUGGCGAGUGGCGGACGGGUGAGGAAUACAUCGGAAUCUACUUUUUCGUGGGGGAUAACGUAGGGAAACUUACGCUAAUACCGCAUACUACCUACGGGUGAAAGCAGGGGAUCUUCGGAACUUGCGCGAUUGAAUGAGCCGAUGUCGGAUUAGCUAGUUGGCGGGGUAAAGGCCCACCAAGGCGACGAUCCGUAGCUGGUCUGAGAGGAUGAUCAGCCACACUGGAACUGAGACACGGUCCAGACUCCUACGGGAGGCAGCAGUGGGGAAUAUUGGACAAUGGGCGCAAGCCUGAUCCAGCCAUACCGCGUGGGUGAAGAAGGCCUUCGGGUUGUAAAGCCCUUUUGUUGGGAAAGAAAAGCAGCGGGUUAAUACCCCGCUGUUCUGACGGUACCCAAAGAAUAAGCACCGGCUAACUUCGUG
rnacentral:rRNA from 1 species